GUUUUUAUAGUUUAAAAUAAAACUUAAAUUUUGUAAAUUUAAAAUUCUUCUUUUGAAGAUGGAAGCA
rnacentral:tRNA from 1 species